GCUGGAAUAGAUUAAAAAAGAGAGAGAUACAAGAUAACUCACAUAGAAAAGUGCAUGAGCAAUGGACAGUUCGACACGAAACAGUGGGAGAGCUAGCGCUAACGAGCGUAUCUAGUGCGCAGAAUGUGUGGUAGCGAUAAAAGACAGACGUCGGUAGCGCCCCCAACCGCUGAUUAAGACGAGUGGAAGACCUUAACGGACACACAAAUGUAGUUCCUUACUGAAGUGUUGGGUUGAAGGUUUGUAUAAGGCAGGGGCCUCCAAACUUUUCAGCCCGCGGGCCGCAUUGCUUCAAAAAUCAACAUGUUGAGUGCCAUUUGAUGUUACCUAUAAUUGAUGAGUGAACGUUUAAAUCUCAUUUUUAUAACAAAAUACUAACGAUACUUGAACAGAUUCGUGUUACUAAAGCUUGAUUUUUGUCUAAGAAAUGUAAAAAAAAUACAAUUUCUUUUGAAAAAGUCAAAAUAACCUAAUAUUUAUUCUAAAUCUGGCAAAGUCAUCGGGGCCGCAUUUUAAGCACUUGAGGGCCGCAUGCGGCCCGCGGGCCGUAGUUUGGAGACCCCUGGUAUAAGGGAUCCACAACCUGAGGAUUGUGUAGCAAACUCAAAUUAUUAUUUGUGAGCAAAAGGUAGGUUCCUUUUCUCGGGGCCCAAGCUUUUUCGCCUAGUUUGCGUAGUGCUUAAUUCGCCCCUUGUGGUGCCCUGAGUAUUUCCUCGCUUAGUGGCCAACAGGUUAGAUAUACAGAAUCAUUAUUUUGCUAACUUUGCAACAAUAAAUAUAAUGGAGUUAACUUUUAACUUAGAUGACAUUAGACAUUUGAAAGUAAUACCUUUUCAGAUCACUAACGAGUGCAUAGAAAAAAUGUAUGUUUUAUGGUUAAAGAAAAAAAAUUAAGACAUAUAAUUGCUUUUAAUAAACUUCCCUUGAAAGUUAAUAAUUUAAGCUUACUUGAAAAAACAAAUCUACGAGCUUGCUAGCUGCCGUUAUUUAUCCGGAAUUAUCGCCAUGCUUUCGCUACAAAAUUGUUGGAAUAUAUCUUUUGCAAACGAUGUUGAUCCAGAAAUUCUCGAUGGGACACUGCUGAGGGAUGUUGAAACAGUUUGCUGACUAGGGCGUGGGCGUCACCUCUAGACUUAGCCGCCCCAUCUCCUAAAAUGCUCACUUUUAAUUGCGUCGUCAUUGCUUGCCGCUGCGAAAACAGUGGACGCGAUUCAUUAUUUGGUAUGUUGCAUUGACCUCCCGGCCAAGCGAACGCAGCAAUGUAGUUAUUAACUCUAGAAAUUCAUCUUCAGCUUCCUAUGGAGAUUCUUGUCGUGCAAGGUGUUCUUUUAUCGCGUAAGGUUCAAAACGAUGUUGCUUCAAUUUUUUGUACAUCACGGUUAGAAUUUGGCAAAAAUAUAUUUCAAAUUGUGGCUGUUGACUAUUAUUGAAAGUGCAAAUAACAUUCCGUCAGAACGGGUGAAGAUAAAUCCAUGAAAAAUCGACAAUUUUUGUACUUUUUUUUAAAUGCAAACGUUAAUCGAUAGUAAUUUACUUACUUUUUAAGUAAAUUAACCAAGCAUUUCACUUCUUAAAAUUUCAUAAACAAUAUAUAUUCAGAUGUAAGAUGUGAAGAUGUAAAACAGCCUUAAAUCACUGGAUAAACCAUUUAAUUUUGCAAGUCCUUAAGAGAUAUAAAAUACUUUAGGGUACUAUAGCAAUUUUGUACAUACAUUGAGGUAGUGUAGAGUAGCGACACGAAUAAAAAUACGUGUUAUCUUCACACUGAAUAAAAA